UGGGGAAUAUUGCACAAUGGGCGGAAGCCUGAUGCAGCGACGCCGCGUGGGGGAUGAAGGCCUUCGGGUUGUAAACUCCUUUCGACAGGGACGAAGCGUAAGUGACGGUACCUGUAUAAGAAGCACCGGCUAACUACGUGCCAGCAGCCGCGGUAAUACGUAGGGUGCGAGCGUUGUCCGGAAUUACUGGGCGUAAAGAGCUCGUAGGUGGUUUGUCGCGUCGUCUGUGAAAUUCCGGGGCUUAACUCCGGGCGUGCAGGCGAUACGGGCUGACUUGAGUGCUGUAGGGGAGACUGGAAUUCCUGGUGUAGCGGUGAAAUGCGCAGAUAUCAGGAGGAACACCGAUGGCGAAGGCAGGUCUCUGGGCAGUAACUGACGCUGAGGAGCGAAAGCAUGGGUAGCGAACAGGAUUAGAUACCCUGGUAGUCCAUGCCGUAAACGGUGGGCGCUAGGUGUAGGGGGCUUCCACGUCUUCUGUGCCGUAGCUAACGCAUUAAGCGCCCCGCCUGGGGAGUACGGCCGCAAGGCU
rnacentral:rRNA from 1 species